AUAACGACCGGAAACGGUCGCUAAUACCCCAUAUGCCGAGAGGUGAAAUGAAUUUCGCCUGAGGAUGAGCCCGCGUCUGAUUAGCUUGUUGGUGAGGUAAUGGCUCACCAAGGCAUCGAUCAGUAGCUGGUCUGAGAGGAUGAUCAGCCACACUGGGACUGAGACACGGCCCAGACUCCUACGGGAGGCAGCAGUGGGGAAUUUUCCGCAAUGGGCGAAAGCCUGACGGAGCAACGCCGCGUGAGGGACGAAGGCCUCUGGGCUGUAAACCUCUUUUCUCAAGGAAGAAGAUCUGACGGUACUUGAGGAAUAAGCCACGGCUAAUUCCGUGCCAGCAGCCGCGGUAAUACGGGAGUGGCAAGCGUUAUCCGGAAUUAUUGGGCGUAAAGCGUCCGCAGGCGGCUUUGUAAGUCUGCUGUUAAAACGUGGAGCUUAACUCCAUCAAGGCAGUGGAAACUACAGGGCUUGAGUGUGGUAGGGGCAGAGGGAAUUCCCGGUGUAGCGGUGAAAUGCGUAGAUAUCGGGAAGAACACCAGUGGCGAAGGCGCUCUGCUGGGCCAUAACUGACGCUCAUGGACGAAAGCCAGGGGAGCGAAAGGGAUUAGAUACCCCUGUAGUCCUGGCCGUAAACGAUGAACACUAGGUGUCGGGGGAAUCGACCCCCUCGGUGUCGUAGCUAACGCGUUAAGUGUUCCGCCUGGGGAGUACGCACGCAAGUGUGAAACUCAAAGGAAUUGACGGGGGCCCGCACAAGCGGUGGAGUAUGUGGUUUAAUUCGAUGCAACGCGAAGAACCUUACCAGGGUUUGACAUCCUGCGAAUCUUCCGGAAACGGAAGAGUGCCUUCGGGAACGCAGUGACAGGUGGUGCAUGGCUGUCGUCAGCUCGUGUCGUGAGAUGUUGGGUUAAGUCCCGCAACGAGCGCAACCCACGUUUUUAGUUGCCAGCAUUUAGUUGGGCACUCUAGAGAAACCGCCGGUGAUAAACCGGAGGAAGGUGUGGAUGACGUCAAGUCAUCAUGCCCCUUACAUCCUGGGCUACACACGUACUACAAUGCUACGGACAAAGGGCAGCAAACUCGCAAGAGCUAGCAAAUCCCAU
rnacentral:rRNA from 1 species